AAAACAUGGUCUUUUGUUUAUAUAAAAGAUCUGGCCUGCCCAAUGAUAUUAAUUUAAUGGCUGCAGUAUUUUGACUGUACAAAGGUAGCAUAAUCAUUUGUCUUUUAAUUGGAGUCUGGAAUGAAUGGUUAGAUGAAAAGUUUACUUUCUUUAUUUUAUAACUAAAAUUUAAUUUUUAAAUCAAAAAGUUUAAAUAUCAAUAUAGGACGAGAAGACCCUAUAGAACUUUAUUUGUAGGAAUUAUUUGUUAAUUUGUUAAUAAUUAAUAUAUAUUUUUUUAUAAAUUGUGUUGGGGUGACAAAAAAAAUCUUUUAACUUUUUUUAAUUGCGACAUUUGUAUAUGUGUUUUUGAUCCUUUAUUAUGGAAUAUAAGAUUAAGUUACCUUAGGGAUAACAGCGUUAUUAUUUUAGAGAGUUCUUAUUGAUAAAAUAGUUUGCGACCUCGAUGUUGGAUUAAAAUUAGCUUCAGGAGUAGAAGAUUGAUAGCUGAGUCUGUUCGACUUUUAAAUUUUUACAUGAUCU
rnacentral:rRNA from 1 species